CCUACGGGCGGCUGCAGUGGGGAAUAUUGGACAAUGGGCGAAAGCCUGAUCCAGCCAUGCCGCGUGUGUGAAGAAGGCCUUCGGGUUGUAAAGCACUUUCAGUGGGGAAGAAAGCCUUGGGGCUAAUACCCUCGAGGAAGGACAUCACCCACAGAAGAAGCACCGGCUAACUCCGUGCCAGCAGCCGCGGUAAUACGGAGGGUGCGAGCGUUAAUCGGAAUUACUGGGCGUAAAGCGCGCGUAGGCGGUCUGAUAAGCCGGUUGUGAAAGCCCCGGGCUCAACCUGGGAACGGCAUCCGGAACUGUCAGGCUAGAGUGCAGGAGAGGAAGGUAGAAUUCCCGGUGUAGCGGUGAAAUGCGUAGAGAUCGGGAGGAAUACCAGUGGCGAAGGCGGCCUUCUGGACUGACACUGACGCUGAGGUGCGAAAGCGUGGGUAGCAAACAGGGUUAGAUACCCUGGUAGUC
rnacentral:rRNA from 1 species